rnacentral:lncRNA from 1 species
AAAAAAAGGAAAAAUUGAAAAUGGAAACAAGCUAGUUUGCAGCAUCAUUUCUAGUCUAAAACCUGUCCCCUUAGCCAGGGAAGAGUAUGUUCAGACACUGUGAGAGGGGAAAGAGCUUGGCUGCAGGUGAAAUUUAGAGAGGUAUAAAAGGUGUCCUGUUAUUUAGAAGAUUGGUCUCUUUAAUGCUUGCCUAAAUGUAACUAGAUUUCACAAGUUUGCCCUAUUUUCUCAAAAGUAGAAACGGUAAUGUGGAGUUGAGUGUAAUAAUGGUGUUCUCAAGAGCAGAAGGUGCCAUAUAAUUUAAAGUCUUAAGAGCUGCUGUGUCUUGUCUUAGGGUUUCACUAUACCACUAUGAACCACACCAAGCAAAGAGAAAGAAAGCAACUUACAUCAGGGAAGGCUGCCUUGGGAAA